ensembl:ncRNA C01H6.11 ncRNA
CAAACUCACCUCCAUAACACUUUUCCUUGUGCUCUUCGAUGACUUGGUCGUCGUAUUGCUCUCCGCAAACAAAACAAAUUCGAAGUCCGUCU